AAAUAUACUCAUUGAAGUACAAGAAUUCAAAUAAUCUUUAAAACAUUUAUUCAUACUCUCACUUCUUUGACUUGUUGACAUGCCUGCACAAAAAGUAGUACACACAUAUGCUGGUAUCAAUUUUCACGAAUUGCAUAUAUUCUCUACAACCCACUAAUUUUUCCUAAAUUAUACGUCCCCAUUAUUUCUAUCUAUAUUGUUUCAAAUUUCUUAGGAGUAGUUGUAUCGUGAAUAUACCAACUAAACUUGCUACUAAAAUCAGCAUACUAAUGAUAAACAUGACCUAAAUAUUCUGGAAUCUUCUUUGUUAUGUGUCACAUACAAAAAUGAUGUUUAUGUUGGGUUUUAACAAGUGUGAAUGGAAAAAUAAAAAAGAGAAUAUCAAAAGUGAGGGAACUACUUUGGAGGGAAAAUGAAAAGUCAUUUGCAAAGUGCAAAUGAAAAGUCAUUUCUUUGGAUUUGGAUUUGGAUUUGGCAAAUGAUGUGAUUGAUUGAUAUAUUUUUUGGACAAAAUUUAUUCAAUCAAUUUUUGUUAAAUCAAAUAAAUCCUGUUAAUAUUAUUUCUUAUAAAUUUGCGGGUAACAGUAACAUUCCGAAAAGUCGUUACUUUUCCGAAAAGUCGUUACUUUCCAAAAAGUAGUUAUUUUCCUAACAGACACAAUUUUUCAAAAAAGUUGUUAUUUUUUCCAAAAGACACAACUUUCUGGAUAAAAUGGGUCUGAACAGAUUUCACUGAACGGACAUGUUCCUUGCUGAAAAUGGCUAUAAAAGGAAGUCAAAUUUUGAUUUUUUAAACACUGAAAAUUUUUCUUUCUCUGCAUUUAUUUUUCUCUCAAAUAAAAUCAAAGUGUCGAUCGACUGAGUCUGUGUGACUUGUUGUUGUUCUUAAGUUCGUUGAAGUUAAAGAAGUUUGAGGUACCGCUAUUUCUUUAACAGGUUUAAUCCGUUUUAUCUUGAGAGAAAUUAAUCCAUAACCUUGGGUACAGUGAGGGAAUUAAAUUUCUUAAGGACACAUAGUAGUUUCUGUGGACUCGGAUUAAUUCUUGUAUUCUAUAUUAUUUUCUGCUUCAUCUUAUUUCUGUUUCUGUUUAUUAACUUUAUAAAUAAAAGUUAUUAUAAGAGUAACAAUCUUAAGAAAAUUUAUACAGUUUCUGUGUUUGAGGUUUCUGGAGAUUAAAACCUUUAUGGUUUUCUACUCUACUUGAAUUUUUAAAAUCAUUCGAUUAACGAUUAAAAAAACAUAAAAACUUUAUCGUUAAAUCAGAAACAGGUUGUGUAAAGAUUUGCUCUUUACUGUUAGUAUUUUAAAUACUUAAUUUAUCUGCCAAUUGUGACAGAAAAAAAAGACUAAUUCAAGUCAAACAAAUGCUGGAACAGUAAGUGCUGCAACAACAAUGGUUGCACAUAAUCGUUCACAUGCUGCCUUAGCACCGGCUGAGAAACCUGCAAAGUUUUCUGGAGUCGACUUUAAGAGAUGGCAGCAAAAGAUGUUCUUCUAUCUCACUACGUUGAGUCUGCAGAAGUUCAUCAAUGAGAAUGUUCCUGUUAUGUCAGAUGAAACUUCGGCUGAUGAACGAUUCUUGGUAACAGAAGCAUGGACACACUCAGAUUUUUUGUGUAAAAAUUAUAUUUUGAGUGGUCUGCAAGAUGAUCUGUACAAUGUGUACAGCAAUGCAAAAACCUCAAAAGAACUCUGGGAUGCUUUAGAAAAGAAGUACAAAACAGAAGAUGCCGGAAUGAAGAAAUUCAUUGUGGCAAAAUUUCUAGACUUUAAGAUGAUAGACAGUAAGACUGUCGUCACCCAAGUUCAAGAAUUGCAGGUUAUAAUCCAUGAUCUCCUUGCUGAAGGUAUAAAUUUAUUUAAUGCCUAUGUUAGAAAUAUUAAGUUUUCCCUUAAUACUCACAUAACCUUUAAUGUAGGAUUGAUUGUGAAUGAUGCUUUUCAAGUGGCUGCAAUUAUUGAAAAGUUACCUCUAUUGUGGAAGGACUUUAAAAACUACUUGAAACACAAACGCAAGGAGAUGAUUGUUGAAGAUCUCAUAGUAAGGUUGAGAAUCGAAGAGGAUAAUAAGGCUGCAGAAAAGAGGUCACGUGGUAAUUCAGCAAUAUCUGGAGUAAAUUUUGUUGAAGAAGAUUCCACAAAAUUCAAGAAAAGAAAGAAAGCAUCUGGUCCAAAACGCAAUCCUCCUAAGAAGAAAUUCAAUGGAAACUGCUUUAAUUGUGGUAAACAUGGUCAUAGGGCUAAUGAAUGCCGGGGUCCUAAGAAGGACAAGAAAAAGAAGGAUCAAGCAAACUUGGCUGAAUCCAAAGGAGAAAUGGACGAUCUCUGUGCAAUGCUUUCAGAAUGUAACUUGGUUGGAAAUCCAAGAGAAUGGUGGAUAGAUUCUGGUGCCUCAUGCCAUGUUUGUGCCAACAAAGAAUUAUUUUCAUCAUAUACUCUAGCACUUACAGAUGAAAAAUUAUUUAUGGCAAACUCCGCUGUUGCAAAGGUGGAAGGAACUGGCAAAGUCCUAUUAAAGAUGACAUCAGGCAAGGUAGUGACUUUGAAUAUGGUCUCAUAUGUUCCAGAAUUGAGAAAUAAUUUAGUUUCAAUUCCAAUUCUGACCAAGAAUGGAUUUAAAUGUGUAUUUGUUUCUGAUAAAGUAGUAGUAAGCAAAAAUGAUAUGUAUGUAGGAAAAGGCUACCUUAGUGAUGGCCUUUUCAAACUCAAUGUAAUUGCAGUUGAUAUGAAUAAAGAUUUUGCUUCUUCUUACUUGCUUGAGUCUAAAUGUUUAUGGCAUGAACGUUUGGGACAAGUUAAUAACAAAACCUUGCGAAAACUGAUUAACUUAAAUAUUUUGCCAAAAUUUGAGUGCAAUAAAUCAAAAUGUCAAAUUUGUGUUGAAUCUAAGUAUGCUAAGCAUUCUUAUAAAUCUGUUGAAAGGAAUUCAAAUCCUUUAGAAUUGAUUCACACUGAUAUUUGUGACAUGAAGUCAACACCAUCACGUGGUGGGAAAAAAUAUUUCAUAACACUUAUUGACGAUUGCACUAGAUAUUGUUAUGUCUAUUUGCUAAAUAGUAAGGAUGAAGCAAUAGAUGCAUUUAGGCAAUAUAAAACUGAAGUUGAAAAUCAGUUAGAUAAAAAGAUCAGAAUGAUCAGAAGUGAUAGAGGUGGAGAAUAUGAAUCUCCAUUUGCAGAAAUAUGUUUAGGAAAUGGAAUAAUCCAUCAAACUACUGCUCCCUACACUCCUCAGUAUAAUGGAAUUGCAGAAAUAAAAAAUCAAACUUUAAAAGAAAUGAUAAAUGCAUUACUUAUAAGUUCAGGUUUACCACAGAACUUGUGGGGGGAAGCUAUCCUUACAGCAAAUCAGAUACUUAACAGAGUGCCUCACUCAAAGACAAAUGUAAUUCCAUAUGAGAAAUAGAAAGGUAGAAAACCCAAUUUGAAAUAUUUCAACGUGUGGGGGUGUCUAGCCAAAGUCCAAGUUCCUAUACCUAAGAGGGUAAAAAUAGGACCUAAAACUGUGGAUUGUGUAUUCAUUGGAUAUGCGACAAACAGUAAGGCAUGUCGAUUUUUGGUUCAUAAGUCUGAACAUCCGGAUAUUCAUGAUAAUACGGUAAUGGAAUCAGAUAGUGCUGAAUUUUUUGAACAUAUCUAUCCGAAUAAAACUAGACUUGAGUCAUCUAGUGGGGAAUCUAAACAACCCAGAGAAAAAACAAAAGAGAAUGAACAAAAUGAAGAAAGUCCAAGACGCAGUAAACGUCAAAAGACAUCUACUUCAUUUUAAUCAGAUUUUGUAACAUUUCUUCUUGAAAGUGAGCCUCAAACAUUCAAGGAAGCAAUGUUGUCUAGUGACUCAACCUCUUGGAAGGAGGCUGUUAAUAGUGAAAUUGAAUCAAUCUUAAGCAAUCAUACUUGGGAGUUGGUUGAUCUUCCUCCAGGGAACAAACCCUUGGGUUCAAAAUGGAUCUUUAAAAGGAAGAUGAAAGACGAUGGAACUAUUGACAAAUAUAAAGCAAGACUAGUUGUCAAAGGUUUUAAACAAAAAGAAAGUCUUGAUUAUUUUGACACAUACUCACCAGUGACUGGGGUUACAUCAAUUCGGAUGUUAAUUGCACUAGCUGCAGUAUACGGUCUUGAAAUUUAUCAAAUGGAUGUAAAAACAGCCUUCUUAAAUGGAGAGCUUGAAGAGGAAAUUUACAUAGAACAGCCUGAGGGUUUUGUAGUUCCUGGUAAAGAAAAGAAAGUGUGCAAACUUAUUAAGUCACUUUAUGGGCUAAAACAAGCACCAAAACAAUGGCAUGCAAAGUUUGAUCAAACUAUGUUGUCAAAUGGAUUUAAGAUCAAUGAAUGUGAUAAAUGUGUUUACAUUAAAGAUACUCCAAAUCAGGAAGUUAUUUUAUGCCUAUAUGUAGAUGAUAUACUUAUAAUGAGCAAAGACAUUGCUAAUAUAAAAGCUACAAAGCGUAUGCUUGCUAGUAAGUUUGAUAUGAAAGAUUUAGGAGUUGCUGAUGUAAUAUUAGGAAUUAAAAUUCUUAAGACUCCUAAUGGUCUAACAUUGUCUCAAACUCAUUAUAUUCAAAAGAUACUUGAAAAAUUCAAAUUUUUGAAUUUUAAAAGGGCAAAGACUCCAAUUGAUGUAAAUCUUCAUCUUGCAAAGAAUAAAGGCGAAAGUCAGUUUCAAUUGGACUAUGCUAGCGUAUUGGGAAGCUUAAUGUAUGUUAUGAAUUGUACACGACCAGACAUAGCUUGCGCUAUCAGUAAACUGAGUCGAUACACAAGUUAUCCUAAUCAUAAUCAUUGGUUGGCAAUGAAGAGAGUUUUGAGAUACUUAGAUGACACUCAAAACUAUGCUUUACAUUACAACAGAUAUCCAGCCGUUCUUGAAGGAUAUAGUGAUACAAAUUGGAUUACUGGAUCAACUGAAACAAAAUCCACAAGUAGAUACAUUUUUACUAUUGGUGGAGGAGCAAUAUCUUGGAAAUCAUCGAAACAAACAUGUAUAGCUCGCUCUACAAUGGAGUCUGAAUUCAUUACUUUAGACAAGGCAAGUGAAGAAGCUGAAUGGCUCCGGAAUUUCUUAGAAGAUAUUCCAUUUUGUCCCAAACCAAUGGCCCCUAUAUGCAUGCAUACAUUGUGAUAGUCAAGCUGCAAUAGGAAGGGCUGGAAGCAUUAUGUAUAACGGCAAGUCUCGUCACAUAAGACGAAGACAUAACUCUGUGAGACAACUACUCUCUAGUGGAAUUAUCACAAUUGACUAUGUGAAGUCAAAAGAUAAUGUGCCGGAUCCACUUACAAAAGGCCUAAAUAGAGAGGGAGUUGAGAAAUCAUCGACGGGAAUGGGACUAUGGACGAGAACAAGUCAUCGUGGCGGUAACUCUACCUAGAAGACUGGAGAUCCCAAGAUCUAGGUUCAAGGAGAUAAAACAAAGUCAUUGAUGACGGUUCAACAUUGUCAAAGAAAAAAAAUAUUAUUAUUAUUUUAUGGUCCAUUCUCAUGAUGAGACAAUGUUUAGUAACCAGGAUAAAGACAUAAGGACUUUUUAACGGUUUCUAAGUUUGAUACAGGGAAUAUCAAAUGGUGUAUCUAUGGGAUAACACAUUUAGAAAUCACCUAUGUAAGUGUGAAGUGUAAGCCGCUUCAAGGAGAAUCUGGUAAGGCCAGUUCUUUAAGCACUUACUAUCCAAGAUGUGUUCAUGGCUGAAACGAACAAAACAAUGAGAACUAAGAACAGUUCAAGGGUUGAUUGUGUGACAUAUGUUGUCUAGGUAUACACCAAAUCUCGACGGUUCAAAGAUAUCAAAUCUACCGAUUGACCGAGUAUAUCCGAUAUAUGUUCACUACGAAAAGUUUAAAGGGAAACCUACUUAUCCAGAUGCGAUUAACCUUUACCUACAAGACACACAAGUUUUUUCAUUCAUAUGUUUUAACAAUAGCCUUCCCCAUUCAUAUGGGGGAUUGUUGGGUUUUAGCAAGUGUGAAUGGGAAAAGAAAAGAGAGAAUAUCAAAAGUGAGGGAACUACUUUGGAGAGAAAAUGAAAAGUCAUUUGCAAAGUGCAAAUGAAAAGUCAUUUCUUUGGAUUUGGAUUUGGAUUUGGCAAAUGAUGUGAUUGAUUGAUAAUUUUUUUGGACAAAAUUUAUUUAAUCAAUUUUUGUUAAAUCAAAUAAAUCUUGUUAAUAUUAUCUCUUAUAAAUUUGCGGGUAAUAGUAACAUUCUGAAAAGUCGUUACUUUUCCAAAAAGUCGUUACUUUCCAAAAAGUAGUUAUUUUCCUAACAGACACAAUUUUUCAAAAAAGUUGUUAUUUUUUCCAAAAGACACAACUUUCUGGAUAAAAUGGGUUUGAACAGAUUUCACUGAACAGACAUGUUCCUUGCUGAAAAUGGCUAUAAAAGGAAGUCAAAUUUUGAUUUUUUAAACACUGAAAAUUUUUCUUUCUCUGCAUUUAUUUUUCUCUCAAAUAAAAUCAAAGUGUCGAUCGACUGAGUCUGUGUGACUUGCUGUUCUUAAGUUCGUUGAAGUUAAAGAAGUUUGAGGUACCACUAUUUCUUU
rnacentral:lncRNA from 1 species